UUGUGGUGGACAAAGAGAUGUCGAUUUCUGAUUUUCUGUAGGUGGUUCCCAUCGCAACACAAUUUGGAAACUCGUGGUGGCUUCCACGAUUUGACUUCUACGUUUUUGGGUGUAAAGGUGUGAGACGCUGAUGAACUCGCGUUUUCCGUGAGGAAGAUAAUGGAGGCGCGGUGGUUCUCGCUGUGGUUGCUGGUUUAGGUGCUAUGGAGAAGCAAUGUUUCCUUCGCCAUUCAUAGUGCUUUCGCGAACCUGGUGGCUGACAGUGGCGCGAGAACGCGAGGUGGUGGUUCUGUUUAGGUGAUUGCCACCAUUAAUUAGAUGAUUGCCACCGUUAAUUAGGUGAUUGCCACCGUUAAUUGAAUAAAAAUUCAAUUGAAACAAAAAAAAUAACUGAAG
rnacentral:sRNA from 1 species